GGAGUACCUAGCAGUAGAGUUGCUGCAGGUACAAGACUCAGACUUGCUAUUUCAGUCCUGUGGAAGAGGCAGACCAGCUUUGUUGGCCAUGAUCAGGGUGGCCCAAGAUAUUUUGACACCUGAGGCAAACCACAAAAUGUACCACCACCUCCUCCAAGGAAAAAGUACGGAUAAAAUGGGAUGAGACCAAUGCCGGAAUGAAUCAUGCUUCCCCGAUGCACAAAUGAAAUUCAAGAGAUUUCUUUCCAAGAAUAAAUCUUCAGAUCCAA